rnacentral:rRNA from 1 species
UGGGGAAUAUUGGACAAUGGGGGCAACCCUGAUCCAGCCAUGCCGCGUGAGUGAUGAAGGCCUUCGGGUUGUAAAGCUCUUUUGGCGGGGACGAUGAUGACGGUACCCGCAGAAUAAGCCCCGGCUAACUUCGUGCCAGCAGCCGCGGUAAGACGAAGGGGGCUAGCGUUGUUCGGAAUUACUGGGCGUAAAGCGAGUGUAGGCGGUUGCCGUAGUCAGGUGUGAAAGCCUUGAGCUCAACUCAAGAAAUGCACUUGAUACUGGGUGACUAGAGGACCGGAGAGGAUAGUGGAAUUCCCAGUGUAGUGGUGAAAUACGUAGAGAUUGGGAAGAACACCAGUGGCGAAGGCGGCUAUCUGGACGGUUACUGACGCUAAGACUCGAAAGCGUGGGGAGCAAACAGGAUUAGAUACCCUGGUAGUCCACGCCGUAAACGAUGGGUGCUAGACGUUGGCGAGCUUGCUCGUCAGUGUCGCAGCUAACGCGUUAAGCACCCCGCCUGGGGAGUACGGCCGCAAGGUUGAAACUUAAAUGAAUUGACGGGGGUCAUAGCUGUUU